rnacentral:lncRNA from 1 species
GCCCAGAUUGCCUUCCUACAGGGAGAAAGGAAGGGCCAAGAAAAUUUGAAGAAGGAUCUCGUGAGGAUGAUCAGAAUGUUGGAGUAUGCUCUUAAACAGAAAAGAGCCAAAUACCACAAGUUGAAAUAUGGGACAGAAUUGAAUCAGGGAGCUAUGAAGCCUCCAAGCUAUGAUUCUGAUGAAGGUAAUGAAACAGAAGUGCAGCCACAACAAAACAGCCAGUUAAUGUGAAAACAAGGUCGACAACUACUCAGGC